GUUACUCCUGGGGCCUUUCAGGAUGUGAGAUCCAAGCAGCUCAAGAAUGCUCAACCAGGUUCAACCUUCCACCUGAUCACCAAGCUCAACUAAGUUUCUCCGGCACAGAUUGGAAUGGACACCCCAUGCAAGGGCACCCUCCCAGGGUCUAGAAAGAGCAGUUGUUGAGGAUUCUGGAGUGAGGAAAUGUUCAGCCCCACCUUCACUGGAACUGAAAUCAACUGGAAUUGACGUCAAAUUGGCAAAUUUGUCUCAAUCUGAUUUUCUCAUCCAUUUUCAAAUAAGUAUUUGAUCAAGAAAGACUGACAACUUAAAAGAAAACAUCAUUAGGAAAGGCAAACAAAUACAGGAAUUUUGAACAACCAUCGAAAGCAGAUUCAUUUAUUUAUACAUACAAGAGCUGGGGUACAGGCCAGAGCUG